rnacentral:lncRNA from 1 species
UUAUUAAAUUAGUUUCGUACAAAAUGUGUCGGACAUUUUAAAUCUUUCAUUAUGAUUAAAAAUUAGAGUUUCUUAUUAAUCUUAAAUUAUGUAAUAAAUGGUUUAGAAAAGAUAAAAGAAAUUUGUUUUAAGUAUUAUAUUGUGGCUAAUGAAGCAGUUAAAAAGUCCUGUAACUUCUUCGAUAAUACUAUUGUUAUGAAGAUUGCAAUAGUUUUAAAUAUCAGAAACUGAAGAAGGUAUUGAUACUCAGCAGAUAAUAAAAAAAGCAAAAGUACUGAUUAUUCAAAUCUCUUAAAGUGAAACUGUCGGUAUCUCCACAACUUUUCAAUUAAAUAGAAAGUUUCAAUCAAACAGGAUACUGAGUGUACCUACUGCUCCUCAAGACAAUGGAUAAUGGGAGUUAUCAAACUUGCGAUAACUACAAGUUUUUUUAAUAAGUAAAAAGAUUGUAUGACUUCGGUAUCCGCAAUAUGGUAUCGUGCAUUGGUUCUUAUCUUAGAAUGGCUCCCUUCCGUUUAGGUGAAAAUAAGAAAGGUUAUCAGUUCAAGCAAAGAUGACAAUGAUCAUUAUGGAGCCGAUCAUGAUGACGAAUACGAUAAUUCACAUAAUAAUAAAUAAAAUGAUUUUACUUGUAUUUUAGACUUAUAAAUAAAAAAUUAUCUGUUUAAUAUUUAA